rnacentral:rRNA from 1 species
AACGAACGCUGGCGGCAUGCCUAACACAUGCAAGUCGAACGAGACCUUCGGGUCUAGUGGCGCACGGGUGCGUAACGCGUGGGAACCUGCCCUUAGGUUCGGAAUAACUCCCCGAAAGGGGUGCUAAUACCGGAUAAUGUCUUCGGACCAAAGAUUUAUCGCCUUUGGAUGGGCCCGCGUUGGAUUAGCUAGUUGGUAGGGUAAAAGCCUACCAAGGCGACGAUCCAUAGCUGGUCUGAGAGGAUGAUCAGCCACACUGGGACUGAGACACGGCCCAGACUCCUACGGGGGGCAGCAGUGGGGAAAUUUGGACAAGGGGCGAAAGCCUGACCCAGCAAUGCCGGGUGAGGGAUGAAGGCCUUAGGGUUGAAAAGCUUUUUUACCCGGGAUGAUAAGGACAGUACCGGGAAAAUAAGCCCCGGCAAACUCCGU